rnacentral:rRNA from 1 species
UGUGAACUCGAAGAGUAGGGCGGGACACGUGGUAUCCUGUCUGAAUAUGGGGGGACCAUCCUCCAAGGCUAAAUACUCCUGACUGACCGAUAGUGAACCAGUACCGUGAGGGAAAGGCGAAAAGAACCCCGGCGAGGGGAGUGAAAAAGAACCUGAAACCGUGUACGUACAAGCAGUGGGAGCACCUUCGGGUGUGACUGCGUACCUUUUGUAUAAUGGGUCAGCGACUUAUAUUCUGUAGCAAGGUUAACCGUAUAGGGGAGCCGCAGGGAAACCGAGUCUUAACUGGGCGUUAAGUUGCAGGGUAUAGACCCGAAACCCGGUGAUCUAGCCAUGGGCAGGUUGAAGGUUGGGUAACACUAACUGGAGGACCGAACCGACUAAUGUUGAAAAAUUAGCGGAUGACUUGUGGCUGGGGGUGAAAGGCCAAUCAAACCGGGAGAUAGCUGGUUCUCCCCGAAAGCUAUUUAGGUAGCGCCUCGUGAACUCAUCUUCGGGGGUAGAGCACUGUUUCGGCUAGGGGGUCAUCCCGACUUACCAACCCGAUGCAAACUACGAAUACCGAAGAAUGUUAUCACGGGAGACACACGGCGGGUGCUAACGUCCGUCGUGAAGAGGGAAACAACCCAGACCGCCAGCUAAGGUCCCAAAGUCAUGGUUAAGUGGGAAACGAUGUGGGAAGGCACAGACAGCCAGGAUGUUGGCUUAGAAGCAGCCAUCAUUUAAAGAAAGCGUAAUAGCUCACUGGUCGAGUCGGCCUGCGCGGAAGAUGUAACGGGGCUAAACCAUGCACCGAAGCUGCGGCAGCGACACUAUGUGUUGUUGGGUAGGGGAGCGUUCUGUAAGCCUGCGA